GGAGUUUUUACUUUAGUGGCGGACGGGUGAGUAACACGUAAGAAUUUGCCUUUAGGAGGGGGAUAACAUCGUCAGAAAUGAUUCGAGAAAUUGAUGCUAAUACCCCAUAUGCUUUCGAGUGAAAUGGAGUUUUCCGCCUAAAGAGAAGCUUGCGGCUGAUUAGCUUGUUGGUGAGGUAAUGGCUUACCAAGGCGACGAUCAGUAUCUGGUUUGAGAGGAUGAUCAGACACACUGGAACUGAGACACGGUCCAGACUCCUACGGGAGGCAGCAGUGGGGAAUUUUCCGCAAUGGGCGAAAGCCUGACGGAGCAAUCUCGCGUGAGGGAUGACUGCCUAUGGGUUGUAAACCUCUUUUUUCAGGGAGGAAUAAAUGACGUUACCUGAAGAAUAAGCAUCGGCUAACUCCGUGCCAGCAGCCGCGGUAAUACGGGGGAUGCAAGUGUUAUCCGGAAUCACUGGGCGUAAAGCGUCUGUAGGUGGUUUAAUAAGUCAAUUGUUAAAUCUUGAAGCUCAACUUCAAAAUCGCAGUCGAAACUAUUAGACUAGAGUAUAGUAGGGGUAAAGGGAAUUUCCAGUGGAGCGGUGAAAUGCGUAGAGAUUGGAAAGAACACCGAUGGCGAAGGCACUUUACUGGGCUAUUACUGACACUCAGAGACGAAAGCUAGGGUAGCAAAUGGGAUUAGAUACCCCAGUAGUCCUAGCUGUAAACAAUGGAUACUAGAUGUUGGACAGAUCGACCUGUUCAGUGUCAAAGCUAACGCGUUAAGUAUCCCGCCUGGGAAGUAUGCUCGCAAGAGUGAAACUCAAAGGAAUUGACGGGGGCCCGCACAAGCGGUGGAGCAUGUGGUUUAAUUCGAUGCAACGCGAAGAACCUUACCAGGGUUUGACAUGAUACGAAUCUCUUUGAAAAGAGGAGAGUGCCUUUAUGGAACGUAUACACAGGUGGGUGCAUGGCUGUCGUCAGCUCGUGUCGUGAGAAGUUUGGGUUAAGUCCCGCAACGAGCGCAACCCUCAUUUUUAGUUGCCUUAUGGAACUCUAGAAAGACU
rnacentral:rRNA from 1 species